UGCAUCGGCUGGGAAUCGAACCUGGGCCGCCCGCGUGGCAGGCGAGCAUUCUACCACUGAACCACCGAUGC
rnacentral:tRNA from 1 species